UACGGGGGGAGCAAGCGUUGUUCGGAUUUACUGGGCGUAAAGGGCGCGUAGGCGGUCAGCACAAGUCAGUUGUGAAAUCUCCGGGCUUAACUCGGAAAGGUCAACUGAUACUGUGCGACUAGAGUGCGGAAGGGGCAACUGGAAUUCUCGGUGUAGCGGUGAAAUGCGUAGAUAUCGAGAGGAACACCUGCGGCGAAGGCGGGUUGCUGGGCCGGCACUGACGCUGAGGCGCGAAAGCGUGGGGAGCAAACAGG
rnacentral:rRNA from 1 species